GACGAACGCUGGCGGCGUGCUUAACACAUGCAAGUCGAACGGAAAGGCCCUGCUUGCAGGGUACUCGAGUGGCGAACGGGUGAGUAACACGUGGGUGAUCUGCCCUGCACUUCGGGAUAAGCCUGGGAAACUGGGUCUAAUACCGGAUAGGAGCCAUUUUUAGUGUGAUGGUUGGAAAGUUUUUUCGGUGUAGGAUGAGCUCGCGGCCUAUCAGCUUGUUGGUGGGGUAAUGGCCUACCAAGGCGGCGACGGGUAGCCGGCCUGAGAGGGUGGUCGGCCACAUUGGGACUGAGAUACGGCCCAGACUCCUACGGGAGGCAGCAGUGGGGAAUAUUGCACAAUGGGCGCAAGCCUGAUGCAGCGACGCCGCGUGGGGGAUGACGGCCUUCGGGUUGUAAACUCCUUUCGCUAGGGACGAAGCUUUUUGUGACGGUACCUAGAUAAGAAGCACCGGCUAACUACGUG
rnacentral:rRNA from 1 species